rnacentral:rRNA from 1 species
UACGUAGGUGGCAAGCGUUGUCCGGAUUUACUGGGCGUAAAGGGCGCGUAGGCGGAUCUUUAAGUCGGGGGUGAAAGCCCAGGGCUCAACCCUGGAAUGGCCUUCGAUACUGGAGAUCUUGAGACCGGAAGAGGUAAGUGGAACUGCGAGUGUAGAGGUGAAAUUCGUAGAUAUUCGCAAGAACACCAGUGGCGAAGGCGGCUUACUGGUCCGGUUCUGACGCUGAGGAGCGAAAGCCAGGGGAGCAAACGGG